rnacentral:rRNA from 1 species
UACGUAGGCAGCAAGCGUUGUUCGGAGUUACUGGGCGUAAAGGGUGCGUAGGCGGCUAUUUAAGUUUGGUGUGAAAUCUCCCGGCUCAACUGGGAGGGUGCGCCGAAUACUGAGUGGCUAGAGGAUGGGAGAGGUAAGCGGAAUUCCUGGUGUAGCGGUGAAAUGCGUAGAUAUCAGGAGGAACACCGGCGGCGAAGGCGGGUCUCUGGGCCAUAACUGACGCUGAGGAGCGAAAGCGUGGGGAGCGAACAGG